AGCAGCCGCGGUAAUUCCAGCUCCAAUAGCGUAUAUUAAAGUUGUUGCAGUUAAAAAGCUCGUAGUUGAAUUUCGGGGUUAGCAGGUCGGUCGUGCCAUCGGUAUGAACUGGUCUCGCUGAUCCCUCCCUCUUGACGAACUGUGAUGCCAUUAAUUUGGUGUCGCAGGGAAUCAGGACUGUUACUUUGAAAAAUUAGAGUGUUUAAAGCAGGCUCACGCUUGAAUACAUUAGCAUGGAAUAAUGAAAUAGGACGUUUGAUCCUAUUUUGUUGGCUUCUAGGAUUGACGUAAUGAUUAAUAGGGAUAGUUGGGGGCAUUAGUAUUCAAUUGUCAGAGGUGAAAUUCUUGGAUUUAUUGAAGACUAACUACUGCGAAAGCAUUUGCCAAGGAUGUUUUCAUUAAUCAAGAACGAAAGUUAGGGGAUCGAAGACGAUCAGAUACCGUCGUAGU
rnacentral:rRNA from 2 species